GAUGAACGCUGGCGGCGUGCCUAAUACAUGCAAGUAGAACGCUGAAGGAGGAGCUUGCUCUUCUGGAUGAGUUGCGAACGGGUGAGUAACGCGUAGGUAACCUGCCUGGUAGCGGGGGAUAACUAUUGGAAACGAUAGCUAAUACCGCAUGACAACAGUUAUUGCAUGAUAACUGUUUAAAAGGGGCAACUGCUCCACUACCAGAUGGACCUGCGUUGUAUUAGCUAGUUGGUGAGGUAACGGCUCACCAAGGCGACGAUACAUAGCCGACCUGAGAGGGGGAUCGGCCACACUGGGACUGAGACACGGCCCAGACUCCUACGGGAGGCAGCAGUAGGGAAUCUUCGGCAAUGGACGGAAGUCUGACCGAGCAACGCCGCGGGAGUGAAGAAGGGUUUCGGAUCGUAAAGCUCUGUUGUAAGAGAAGAACGAGUGUGAGAGUGGAAAGUUCACACUGUGACGGUAGCUUACCAGAAAGGGACGGCUAACUACGUG
rnacentral:rRNA from 1 species